GACGAACGCUGGCGGCGUGCUUAACACAUGCAAGUCGAACGGAAAGGCCCUGCUUUUGUGGGGUGCUCGAGUGGCGAACGGGUGAGUAACACGUGAGUAACCUGCCCUUGACUUUGGGAUAACUUCAGGAAACUGGGGCUAAUACCGGAUAGGAGCUCCUGCUGCAUGGUGGGGGUUGGAAAGUUUCGGCGGUUGGGGAUGGACUCGCGGCUUAUCAGCUUGUUGGUGGGGGAGUGGCUUACCAAGGCUUUGACGGGUAGCCGGCCUGAGAGGGUGACCGGCCACAUUGGGACUGAGAGACGGCCCAGACUCCUACGGGAGGCAGCAGUGGGGAAUAUUGCACAAUGGGCGGAAGCCUGAUGCAGAAACGCCGCGUGCGGGAUGACGGCCUUCGGGUUGUAAACCGCUUUCGCCUGUGACGAAGCGUGAGUGACGGUAAUGGGUAAAGAAGCACCGGCUAACUACGUG
rnacentral:rRNA from 1 species